rnacentral:pre_miRNA from 1 species
AAAUUCUGAAUGUUAUUGUAGACAUUCUAUGAUUUUAAAUGUUACAAAACAUUCAGAAUUUUG